rnacentral:rRNA from 1 species
UACGAGGGGGGCAAAUGUUGUUCGGAAUUACUGGGCGUAAAGCGCACGUAGGCGGCUUUACAAGUUAGAGGUGAAAGCCCGGGGCUCAACUCCGGAAUUGCCUUUAAAACUGCAUCGCUAGAAUUGUGGAGAGGUAAGUGGAAUUCCGAGUGUAGAGGUGAAAUUCGUAGAUAUUCGGAAGAACACCAGUGGCGAAGGCGACUUACUGGACACAUAUUGACGCUGAGGUGCGAAAGCGUGGGGAGCAAACAGG